rnacentral:lncRNA from 1 species
AAAUAGUUGUUGCAGUGAAAUGUUGCAUCCAAAUUUAUACAUAGAACAGAAAACAAAUAAUCAGAUAUUUGACUACCCGGUUCUCCUCAAACUAAACAAAGUGGAAUGAUGAUGGGCAUAUCUUUUACGAAUUAACAGGUUCAAAUUAUCGUCAAUCCUAGGACGAAAAUGCACGGACAAAUGCAUGCCAAUAGCUGUGAAUCAGAAAAGAAAGAAAAACAAUCACCAUCUUGUGCAACGAACAACGAAGAAUACAACUGCAAAUACUCCAGGGAUAAGGGUGCAAGCAUGGUGUCGUACAUGAUUUAUCCAGUAACAGCUCGUGUAGGAACUUAUUCUGAAUUCUUUGAAACCCAAAGGACGAUCUAAAAAUAAUUUCUUCGAUGUAGAAACCUCG